rnacentral:snRNA from 1 species
AGAAGAUAGAAGCAGGAUAUCGU